GGUUGUGGUUAGCUCUUCCACUCUCUAGAAUUCAGAAUUUAUUCAGUUAUUAAUGAAUAACAAACCACCAAACAGUCAUGAAGAGGGAAGUAAUGAAGAUCAAUUUGUGGAAGCUUUGCUACAAUGAUUCACUCUGGUCGUGAAUGUGCCCAUGGAUCCAUGGAUGCAUACUGAAUAGCAUGUUUGGAGAAAACAUCUUUGAAAUUCACCAAGAGCGAAGAAAGUUCUGUCAUGUUGGGAAUUCUCAUAACAAGAUGAACUUUGACAUUUCUCAGCCUGAAGAGAGGACACUUUCAAAAUCUCCUGUCAAGAUUUGAUAAAAAUGGUUUCUCGGAGAACAGAAAAGGAGGACUAUUUCGUAUUUCAGGUUUAUACUAUUACAUGUAUGUUAACUUUGGAUAUCUGUUAAAUAAUUUUCAAAUAAUUUCAUAGU
rnacentral:lncRNA from 1 species